rnacentral:rRNA from 1 species
ACACGACUACAUUAGAUACCCGCGUAGUCCCAGCCCUAAACGAUGCGCGUUAGGUGUAUCGGUGACCACGAGUCACCGAGGUGCCGAAGGGAAACCGUGAAACGUGCCGCCUGGGAAGUACGGUCGCAAGGCUGAAACUUAAAGGAAUUGGCGGGGAGCACCACAACGGGUGGAGCCUGCGGUUUGAUCGGACUCAACGCCGGGAAUCUCACCGGAUAAGACAGCUGAAUGAUAGUCGGGAUGAAGACUCUACUUGACUAGCUG